CAGAUUGAAGCUUGCUUUGAACUGUUUUAGUGGCGGACGGGUGAGUAACGCGUGAGGAACCUGCCUUUCAGAGGGGGAUAACGUCUGGAAACGGACGCUAAUACCGCAUGACAUUUUGUUGCCGCAUGGUGAUAAAAUCAAAGGAGCAAUCCGCUGAGAGAUGGACUCGCGUCCGAUUAGCCGGUUGGCGGGGUAACGGCCCACCAAAGCAACGAUCGGUAGCCGGGCUGAGAGGCUGAACGGCCACAUUGGGACUGAGACACGGCCCAGACUCCUACGGGAGGCAGCAGUGGGGGAUAUUGCACAAUGGAGGAAACUCUGAUGCAGCAACGCCGCGUGAGGGAAGAAGGUUUUCGGAUUGUAAACCUCUGUCCUCAGGGACGAUAAUGACGGUACCUGAGGAGGAAGCUCCGGCUAACUACGUGCCAGCAGCCGCGGUAAUACGUAGGGAGCAAGCGUUGUCCGGAUUUACUGGGUGUAAAGGGUGCGUAGGCGGCACUGCAAGUCAGGUGUGAAAACCAUGGGCUUAACUUAUGGAUUGCACUUGAAACUGUGGUGCUUGAGUGAAGUAGAGGCAGGCGGAAUUCCCGGUGUAGCGGUGAAAUGCGUAGAGAUCGGGAGGAACACCAGUGGCGAAGGCGGCCUGCUGGGCUUUAACUGACGCUGAGGCACGAAAGCAUGGGUAGCAAACAGGAUUAGAUACCCUGGUAGUCCAUGCCGUA
rnacentral:rRNA from 1 species